UGCGUUUUCAGAUUCAUCACUCGACAACUUCCUGUUUACCGAACACUUGUAUUAUUUUACACAUGAUAACCAAGUUGAAAAUUUUUGUCACAUUUUUCUCAGGAACUACAAUACAAGGAUUUCUGAAAUUUGGUUUCAGGGUUUAUAUAAGUCUGCAAUACUGUGUGAUGCGUUUUCAGAUUCAUCACUCGACAACUUCCUGUUUACCGAACACUUGUAUGAUUUUACAUAUGAUAGCCAAGUUGAAAAUUUUCGUCACAUUUUUCUCAGGAAUUACUAUACAAGGAUUUCUGAAAUUUGGUUUCAGGAUUUAUACAAGUCAGCUUAUACCGUGUAAUGCGUUUUCAGAUUCAUCACUCAACAACUUCCUGUUUACCGAACACUUGCAUAUUUUUACACUAUUAAAAUUAUCCACUUGCGGCGGGGGUAUCAUCAGUGAGCAGUAGCUCGC
rnacentral:lncRNA from 1 species